rnacentral:rRNA from 1 species
GACGAACGCUGGCGGCGUGCUUAACACAUGCAAGUCGAACGGAGAGGCCCUGCUUUUGUGGGGUGCUCGAGUGGCGAACGGGUGAGAAACAAGUGAGUAACCCGCCAUUGACUUUGGGAUAACUUCAGGAAACUGGGGCUAAUACCGGAUAGGAGCUCCUGCUGGAUGGUGGGGGUAGGAAAGUUUCGGCGGUUGGGGAUGGACUCGCGGCUUACCAGCUUGUUGGUGGGGUAGUGGCUUACCAAGGCGUUGACGGGUAGCCGGCCUGAGAGGGUGACCGGCCACAUGGGGACUGAGAUACGGCCCAGACUCCUACGGGGGGCAGCAGUGGGGAAUAUUGCACAAUGGGCGGAAGCCUGAUGCAGCAACGCCGCGUGCGGGAUGACGGCCUUCGGGUUGUAAACCGCUUUCGCCUGUGACGAAGCUUGAGUGACGGUAAUUGGUAAAGAAGCACCGGCUAACUACGUG